AUCGGGUGCGUUCGAAUUGUCCCUCCUAUCUCCUUUCACUAUCCACUUUACCUUAACCCCGGGGAAAACGUCAUGAGGUUAAUGACGUGGGUCCGCCGUGUUGAAACUACAAUGUUCUGAAAAUGGACUACAAAAAACACAUCUAAAAAACUUUCCCCUGUGCCUUCUUACCGGUGAAAUAAUCCUAAUUACCACAAGGUUGGGAUUGAAAUAAAAGAAAUAUAGACUACCAGGCUACAAGUAAGAAAAGUGAAACCAUCAGCUUCCUGUCCAAUCAGAAAUCAACAUCAAAAUAAGUAUGAAAUUAAUUGUUACAUUUAUGUAAGACAAGAAUGUACAACUGAAGAAAUGCACAAAACAUUCUGAAUUGAAUGAAAUAUGUUGAAUAAAACAUCAUCUG